AAAUUGAAGAGUUUGAUCAUGGCUCAGAUUGAACGCUGGCGGCAGGCCUAACACAUGCAAGUCGAACGGUAACAGGAAUCAGCUUGCUGAUUCGCUGACGAGUGGCGGACGGGUGAGUAAUGUCUGGGAAACUGCCUGAUGGAGGGGGAUAACUACUGGAAACGGUAGCUAAUACCGCAUAACGUCGCAAGACCAAAGAGGGGGACCUUCGGGCCUCUUGCCAUCGGAUGUGCCCAGAUGGGAUUAGCUAGUAGGUGGGGUAACGGCUCACCUAGGCGACGAUCCCUAGCUGGUCUGAGAGGAUGACCAGCCACACUGGAACUGAGACACGGUCCAGACUCCUACGGGAGGCAGCAGUGGGGAAUAUUGCACAAUGGGCGCAAGCCUGAUGCAGCCAUGCCGCGUGUGUGAAGAAGGCCUUCGGGUUGUAAAGUACUUUCAGCGGGGAGGAAGGGAGUAAAGUUAAUACCUUU
rnacentral:rRNA from 1 species